rnacentral:rRNA from 1 species
AACGAACGCUGGCGGCAUGCCUAACACAUGCAAGUCGAACGAGACCUUCGGGCUUUGUGGCGCACGGGUGCGUAACGCGUGGGAACCUGCCCUUAGGUUCGCAAUAACUCCCCGAAAGGGGUGCUAAUACCGGAUAAUGUCUUCGGACCAAAGAUAUAUCGCCCUUGGAUGGGCCCGCGUUGGAUUAGCUAGUUGGUAGGGUAAAAGCCUACCAAGGCGAGGAUGCAUAGCUGGUCUGGGAGGCUGAUCAGCGACACUGGGGCUAAGACCCGGCCCAGACUCCUACGCAAGGGAGGAGUGGGGGAUAUAGGACACUGGGGGGAGGCCUGAUGGAGCAAUGCCGCGUAAGUGAUGAAGGCCGUAGGGUAGUGAAGCUCUUUUACCCGGGAUGAUAAUGACGGUACCGGGAGAAUAAGCACCGGCUAACUCCGUG